UACGCUUCUCGGCCUUUUGGCUAAGAACAAAGUGUAUUAUCUGUUCUUAUCAGCUUCGUAGAUUUGCUUUAAAACAUUCUGACACACGUUGAACUACAGCAAAUUUCACGUAAGAAUGAAAUUUCAUAUGUUUUUAAUCAUAACUCCUUUGAAGAAAAGAAGAAAAAUGCUUUGAAUUUCUUAUAUGUAACUAGAGCUGAAAAC